rnacentral:tRNA from 1 species
CGGUUAGCUUUGCCCAAGCGAAUCGCCUACACCGAGAGGUUGGAUCUUACUUUUUUCUUAACCGG